rnacentral:rRNA from 1 species
GACGAACCGUGCGAACGUUGUUCGGAAUCACUGGGCUUAAAGGGCGCGUAGGCGGCUCGCGAGGUCGGGGGUGAAAUCCCGCAGCUUAACUGCGGAAGGGCCUCCGAUACCGGCGGGCUGGAGGAAGGUAGGGGGGCGCGGAACUUCUGGUGGAGCGGUGAAAUGCGUUGAUAUCAGAAGGAACGCCGGCGGCGAAAGCGGCGCACUGGACCGUUUCUGACGCUGAGGCGCGAAAGCUAGGGGAGCAAACGGG